rnacentral:rRNA from 1 species
AGAGUUUGAUCCUGGCUCAGGAUGAACGCUGUGCGGCGUGCUUAACACAUGCAAGUCGAACGGGAAAUAUUUCAUUGAGACUUCGGUGGAUCUGAUCUAUUUCUAGUGGCGGACGGGUGAGUAACGCGUGGGUAACCUGCCUUAUACAGGGGGAUAACAGUCAGAAAUGGCUGCUAAUACCGCAUAAGCCCUUAGCACUGCAUGGUGCAUAGGGAAAAGGAGCAAUCCGGUACAGGAUGGACCCGCGUCUGAUUAGCCAGUUGGCAGGGUAACGGCCUACCAAAGCGACGAUCAGUAGCCGAUCUGAGAGGAUGUACGGCCACAUUGGGACUGAGACACGGCCCAGACUCCUACGGGAGGCAGCAGUGGGGAAUAUUGCACAAUGGAGGAAACUCUGAUGCAGCGACGCCGCGUGAGUGAAGAAGUAUUUCGGUAUGUAAAGCUCUAUCAGCAGGGAAGAAAAUGACGGUACCUGACUAAGAAGCACCGGCUAAAUACGUGCCAGCAGCCGCGGUAAUACGUAUGGUGCAAGCGUUAUCCGGAUUUACUGGGUGUAAAGGGAGCGUAGGUGGCAAGGCAAGCCAGAAGUGAAAACCCGGGGCUCAACCGCGGGAUUGCUUUUGGAACUGUCAUGCUAGAGUGCAGGAGGGGUGAGCGGAAUUCCUAAUGUAGCGGUGAAAUGCGUAGAUAUUAGGAGGAACACCAGUGGCGAAGGCGGCUUACUGGACGGUAACUGACGUUGAGGCUCGAAAGCGUGGGGAGCAAACAGGAUUAGAUACCCUGGUAGUCCACGCCGUAAACGA